rnacentral:pre_miRNA from 1 species
CUAGUACUCCCUCCGUCCGAAAAUACUUGUCAUCAAAAUGGACAAAAAAGGAUGUAUCUAAAACUAAAAUACAUCUAGAUACAUCCCCUUUUAUUCAUUUUGAUGACAAGUAUUUCCGGACGGAGGGAGUAGGAA